rnacentral:rRNA from 1 species
AGAGUUUGAUCAUGGCUCAGAUUGAACGCUGGCGGCAGGCUUAACACAUGCAAGUCGAGCGGGGAAAGGUAGCUUGCUACCUGACCUAGCGGCGGACGGGUGAGUAAUGCUUAGGAAUCUGCCUAUUAGUGGGGGACAACAUCUCGAAAGGGAUGCUAAUACCGCAUACGUCCUACGGGAGAAAGCAGGGGAUCUUCGGACCUUGCGCUAAUAGAUGAGCCUAAGUCGGAUUAGCUAGUUGGUGGGGUAAAGGCCUACCAAGGCGACGAUCUGUAGCGGGUCUGAGAGGAUGAUCCGCCACACUGGGACUGAGACACGGCCCAGACUCCUACGGGAGGCAGCAGUGGGGAAUAUUGGACAAUGGGCGAAAGCCUGAUCCAGCCAUGCCGCGUGUGUGAAGAAGGCCUUUUGGUUGUAAAGCACUUUAAGCGAGGAGGAGGCUACCCAGAUUAAUACUCUUGGAUAGUGGACGUUACUCGCAGAAUAAGCACCGGCUAACUCUGUGCCAGCAGCCGCGGUAAUACAGAGGGUGCAAGCGUUAAUCGGAUUUACUGGGCGUAAAGCGCGCGUAGGUGGCUAAUUAAGUCAAAUGUGAAAUCCCCGAGCUUAACUUGGGAAUUGCAUUCGAUACUGGUUAGCUAGAGUAUGGGAGAGGAUGGUAGAAUUCCAGGUGUAGCGGUGAAAUGCGUAGAGAUCUGGAGGAAUACCGAUGGCGAAGGCAGCCAUCUGGCCUAAUACUGACACUGAGGUGCGAAAGCAUGGGGAGCAAACAGGAUUAGAUACCCUGGUAGUCCAUGCCGUAAACGAUGUCUACUAGCCGUUGGGGCCCUUGAGGCUUUAGUGGCGCAGCUAACGCGAUAAGUAGACCGCCUGGGGAGUACGGUCGCAAGACUAAAACUCAAAUGAAUUGACGGGGGCCCGCACAAGCGGUGGAGCAUGUGGUUUAAUUCGAUGCAACGCGAAGAACCUUACCU